rnacentral:rRNA from 1 species
UCAGAGACUCUUCUGAGUCURGCGGCGGACCGCGAUGAGCUAAUCACAGUGGGCMACCUGCCUGUUAGAGACUCGCGUGAUAUAACCGGGAAACCGGUGCUAAUACCGGAUAAUCCUUUUCCUCUCAUGAGGAAAAGCUGAAAGWCGGUUUCGGCUGACACUUACAGAUGGGCCCGCGGCGCAUUAGCUAGUUGGUGAGGUAACGGCUCACCAAGGCGACGAUGCGUAGCCGACCUGAGAGGGUGAUCGGCCACACUGGGACUGAGACACGGCCCAGACUCCUACGGGAGGCAGCAGUAGGGAAUCUUCCACAAUGGACGAAAGUCUGAUGGAGCAACGCCGCGUGAGCGAUGAAGGCCUUCGGGUCGUAAAGCUCUGUUGUUAGGGAAGAACAAGUACCGGAGUAACUGCCGGUACCUUGAC